rnacentral:rRNA from 1 species
UGGCUCGAGGACGAACGCUGGCGGCGUGCUUAACACAUGCAAGUCGAACGGAAAGGCCCAGCUUGCUGGGGUACUCGAGUGGCGAACGGGUGAGUAACACGUGGGUGAUCUGCCCUGCACUCUGGGAUAAGCCUGGGAAACUGGGUCUAAUACCGGAUAUGAUCAACUGUCUCAUGGUGGUUGGUGGAAAGCUUUUGCGGUGUGGGAUGGGCCCGCGGCCUAUCAGCUUGUUGGUGGGGUAAUGGCCUACCAAGGCGACGACGGGCAGCCGACCUGAGAGGGUGAUCGGCCACACUGGGACUGAGACACGGCCCAGACUCCUACGGGAGGCAGCAGUGGGGAAUAUUGCACAAUGGGCGCAAGCCUGAUGCAGCGACGCCGCGUGAGGGAUGACGGCCUUCGGGUUGUAAACCUCUUUCACCAGGGACGAAGCGUGAGUGACGGUACCUGGAGAAGAAGCACCGGCCAACUACGUG